CGGGGAAUCAGGGUUCGAUUCCGGAGAGGGAGCCUGAGAAACGGCUACCACAUCCAAGGAAAGGCAGCAGGCGCACAAAUUACCCAUUUCCGAUCAGAGAGGUAGUGACGAAAUAUAACAAUCCAGGUCUCUUUCGAGGCCCUUUAAUUGGAUUGAGCAUAUCUAAACCCAUGGGCAAGGACCCACUGGAGGGCAAAUCUGGUGCCAGGAGCGAUGGUAAUUCCAGCUCCAAUUGCGUAUGAAGGUUAAAAAACUUGUAGUUGAAUCUCAGGAGUGGGCUGGUCGUAAGCCGCGAGACGAGCCACCACCUAUCCUGGACCCUGCCUCCCUGCGCCCCCCGGAUGCCCUUAACUGGGUGUCCGGUCACCUCGGGGCCCAGAGCAUUUACUUUGAAAAAAUUAGAGUGCUCAAAGCAGGCCGCCUGUCGCCGCUGAAUACCGCAGCUAGGAAUAAUGGAAUAGGACUCCGGUUCUAUUUUGUGGGUUUCUGGAACCCGGGGCCAUGAUUAAGAGGGACGGCCGGGGGCAUUCGUAUUGCGCCGCUAGAGGUGA
rnacentral:rRNA from 1 species